rnacentral:rRNA from 1 species
UACGGAGGGUGCAAGCGUUAUCCGGAUUCACUGGGUUUAAAGGGUGCGUAGGUGGGCAGGUAAGUCAGUGGUGAAAUCUCCGGGCUUAACCCGGAAACUGCCAUUGAUACUAUUUGUCUUGAAUACUUUGGAGGUAAGCGGAAUAUGUCAUGUAGCGGUGAAAUGCUUAGAUAUGACAUAGAACACCAAUUGCGCAGGCAGCUUACUACACAGUAAUUGACACUGAGGCACGAAAGCGUGGGGAGCGAGCCGG